AGCUACUAAGAGCGAAUGGUGGAUGCCUUGACUGGUAAAGGCGAUGAAGGACGUACUAGACUGCGAUAAGCUACGGGGAGCUGUCAAGAAGCUUUGAUCCGUAGAUUUCCGAAUGGGGCAACCCAAUGUAUAGAGAUAUACAUUACCUAUAUAGGAGCGAACGAGGGGAAUUGAAACAUCUUAGUACCCUCAGGAAAAGAAAUCAAUAGAGAUUGCGUCAGUAGCGGCGAGCGAAAGCGCAAGAGGGCAAACCCAGUGCUUGCACUGGGGGUUGUAGGACUGCAAUGUGCAAGAGGUGAGUUUAGCAGAACAUUCUGGAAAGUAUAGCCAUAGAGGGUGAUAGUCCCGUAUGCGAAAAACAAACCUUAGCUAGCAGUAUCCUGAGUAGGGCGGGACACGAGGAAUCCUGUCUGAAUCCGGGUCGACCACGAUCCAACCCUAAAUACUAAUACCAGAUCGAUAGUGCACAAGUACCGUGAGGGAAAGGUGAAAAGAACUGAGGUGAUCAGAGUGAAAUAGAACCUGAAACCAUUUGCUUACAAUCAUUCAGAGCCCUAUGUAGCAAUACAGGGUGAUGGACUGCCUUUUGCAUAAUGAGCCUGCGAGUUGUGGUGUCUGGCAAGGUUAAGCAAACGCGAAGCCGUAGCGAAAGCGAGUCUGAAUAGGGCGCUUAGUCAGAUGCUGCAGACCCGAAACGAAGUGAUCUAUCCAUGAGCAAGUUGAAGCUAGUGUAAGAACUAGUGGAGGACUGAACCCAUAGGCGUUGAAAAGCCCCGGGAUGACUUGUGGAUAGGGGUGAAAGGCCAAUCAAACUUCGUGAUAGCUGGUUCUCUCCGAAAUAUAUUUAGGUAUAGCGUUGUGUCGUAAUAUAAGGGGGUAGAGCACUGAAUGGGCUAGGGCAUACACCAAUGUACCAAACCCUAUCAAACUCCGAAUACCUUAUAUGUAAUCACAGCAGUCAGGCGGCGAGUGAUAAAAUCCGUCGUCAAGAGGGAAACAACCCAGACUACCAGCUAAGGUCCCUAAAUCUUACUUAAGUGGAAAACGAUGUGAAGUUACUUAAACAACCAGGAGGUUGGCUUAGAAGCAGCCAUCCUUUAAAGAAAGCGUAAUAGCUCACUGGUCUAGUGAUUUUGCGCGGAAAAUAUAACGGGGCUAAAGUAAGUACCGAAGCUGUAGACUUAGUUUACUAAGUGGUAGGAGAGCGUUCUAUUUGCGUCGAAGGUAUACCGGUAAGGAGUGCUGGAGCGAAUAGAAGUGAGCAUGCAGGCAUGAGUAGCGAUAAUUAAUGUGAGAAUCAUUAACGCCGUAAACCCAAGGUUUCCUACGCGAUGCUCGUCAUCGUAGGGUUAGUCGGGUCCUAAGUCGAGUCCGAAAGGGGUAGACGAUGGCAAAUUGGUUAAUAUUCCAAUACCAACAUUAGUGUGCGAUGGAAGGACGCUUAGGGCUAAGGGGGCUAGCGGAUGGAAGUGCUAGUCUAAGGUCGUAGGAGGUUAUACAGGCAAAUCCGUAUAACAAUACUCCGAGAACUGAAAGGCUUUUUGAAGUCUUCGGAUGGAUAGAAGAACCCCUGAUGCCAUCGAGCCAAGAAAAGUUUCUAAGUUUAGCUAAUGUUGCCCGUACCGUAAACCGACACAGGUGGGUGGGAUGAGUAUUCUAAGGCGCGUGGAAGAACUCUCUUUAAGGAACUCUGCAAAAUAGCACCGUAUCUUCGGUAUAAGGUGUGGUUCGCUUCGUAUUAGGAUUUACUCCGAAAGCGAAGAAACUUACAACAAAGAGUCCCUCCCGACUGUUUACCAAAAACACAGCACUCUGCUAACUCGUAAGAGGAUGUAUAGGGUGUGACGCCUGCCCGGUGCUCGAAGGUUAAUUGAUGGGGUUAGCAUUAGCGAAGCUCUUGAUCGAAGCCCGAGUAAACGGCGGCCGUAACUAUAACGGUCCUAAGGUAGCGAAAUUCCUUGUCGGUUAAAUACCGACCUGCAUGAAUGGCGUAACGAGAUGGGAGCUGUCUCAAAGAGGGAUCCAGUGAAAUUGUAGUGGAGGUGAAAAUUCCUCCUACCCGCGGCAAGACGGAAAGACCCCGUGGACCUUUACUACAGCUUGACACUGCUAUUUGGAUAAGAAUGUGCAGGAUAGGUGGGAGGCUUUGAGUAUAUGACGCCAGUUGUAUAUGAGCCAUUGUUGAGAUACCACUCUUUCUUAUUUGGGUAGCUAACCAGCUUGAGUUAUCCUC
rnacentral:rRNA from 1 species